rnacentral:rRNA from 1 species
GGAGUUUGAUCCUGGCUCAGAGUGAACGCUGGCGGCGUGCUUAACACAUGCAAGUCGAACGAGAACGGAUUAUAGCUUGCUAUGAUUGUCAGCUAAGUGGCGCACGGGUGAGUAAUAUAUAGGUAACGUGCCCUAGAGAAGAGGAUAACAAUUGGAAACGAUUGCUAAUACUCUAUAUGCCUUUAAGUCAUAAGACUGCAAGGGAAAUAUUUAUAGCUCUAGGAUCGGCCUGUACGGUAUCAGCUAGUUGGUGAGGUAAGAGCUCACCAAGGCAAUGACACCUAACUGGUUUGAGAGGAUGAUCAGUCACACUGGAACUGAGACACGGUCCAGACUCCUACGGGAGGCAGCGGUGGGGAAUAUUGCACAAUGGACGAAAGUCUGAUGCAGCAACGCCGCGCGGAGGAUGACACAUUUCGGUGCGUAACUCCUUUUAUAUCUGAAGAUAAUGACGGUAAGAUAUGAAUAAGCAC